rnacentral:lncRNA from 1 species
UGCUAUGCCAAGGGGUUGAGUCCUCCCUUCAGAUGGGCCAUCUGCAAAUUGCCUGGAUGAAAAAAAAAAUCCUGAAAAUACAAAAUAACCCCUCUAAGUGUCUGAGCCAGGAAAAUGGCAUUUCCUCUGCCCUCUUUGUAUGCCCACUUGCCCUCUGCAGCAUCUGGCCUCAUGGCCUGUGUAGAGUGGAGAGGCACAGCCCUCCUGGGGGGCAGCCGCUGGCAGUGGAACAGGUGGACUGUGCUGCACUUUUCUGCGUCAAGCAUGUGUGCUCUGAUGUAGAACUAGGUACACUUUCAACAGUGUGUGUCAGUUUGCACUCAGCUUAAUUGUGAUUGCUUGACCUUGGUGCACAAGCCGGGAAACUGGCUCCUUUACCCUUUCCUAUUUGAGUAUGAGGGCUAUGCUCUGAGUCAGGACUACAAAGACCUUAUCUGUGAGCCUGUCAGGCCCCUGCCCUUGGCCUGCGGUCUAAGAAAGAAGUGAGCAAUGUAGAAUGGUUAUUCAGAAAGCUGCCAUUCAUGUCUCUGGGGAGGUCUGAGGGAAGAGUGUUCCUGAUAAGUUUGCUCUCUAGGGUUUCUAAAACAGCUUUUAGUUCAUGUAUGUGGUAACGAGACCUUAAAGCAGGAUUAUUUUAGACUCUACACAAGAGGAGUUCAAUAGAUUUAGCCAUUUCUGUCUGCUCUUUGAAUCAUAUUUUAAAAUAUUACCCAAUACUCUUGACUCAGUUAUGUAAGUUUAUUUUAUAAAUACAAAAGUGUCACUUGUGCAUGUGAUAAAUUAACAAACC